AGUUUUGGCGGGCUGUGUGGGAGGGCGCAAGCCCUGCCGGUUCCUAUGUCCCGGUCUGCGAACCCGCACAGUUCCGCCUCCCCA
rnacentral:antisense_RNA from 1 species